rnacentral:tRNA from 1 species
UGUUAUGUGGCUUAGUUGGUUAAAGCGCCGGGUUAGCGAUGCGAGUCGUGGGCUCAAAUCCCAUCAAAACAG